rnacentral:lncRNA from 1 species
UAAGAGCUUUGCAAAAUCAAGAUUUGUUUCGGAUGACUUGGGUUUUAUGAAAUAAAAUAGGGUUUAUAUUUUGGAUAAUUUCGAGAGUUUUGUAGCUGAACUAUGAGUAAAAUUUUAUGGAUUUAUGGUUAUAGUUGUGUUCAAUAUGUGUUGUGAAUUUGAGCUCGAUCUAACGGGUGAAUUGAAGGAUAUUGAGGUUUAAGUGGGUCAAGGUCUCAGAAAGUAGAAUUUUAGGUCUAGUGAGGAUUUUUAAGAUUUCUUGCAAUCUACUUCUUGGAUUGGAGUGAAACUUAUGUGAGAGGAUAUUAAACUUAUUUUUCUAUGUACAAAAAAAUUUUGGGAUAAAUUGAAUGGUGCAAAGAAGAGAUAUCGGCUCUAGAAGAUUGGCAUUAAGAUUUGAGAGGAAGGCCGACCAAUACCCGAGCACAUUUUUGAAGUUAUCAUCAAUUUGGUAAUUCCAAUCAUUUUCAAUUUUUUUGUGCUUAUUUUUAACUUAUUUUAUAAGAAGUGGAAAAAAUUUGAGUUAAGAUCAACGGUUUAUUCAUUAGUUAUUGAGGUUUAAAUCUAAUAUAGGAAUUACUAGAGUUUGGUUUAGGGUUUAGGAUUUGGAUCAGGAUUUGAUUUAGGAUUUAGGAUUUGGUUAGAAUUUGAUUUAAGAUUUAGGAUUUUGUUAGGGUUUGAUUUAGGAUUUAGGAUUUAUAUUAGGGUUUGGUUAGGAUUUGGUUUAGGAUUUGGUUUGGGUUUGAUUUAAAGCUUGUUUAAGGUUUGGGGUUUAGGAUUUGGAUUAGGGUUUGAUUUAGGGUUUAAGAUUUGAUUAGGAUUUGGUUUAGGAUUUAGGAUUUAGAUUAGGAUUUGGUUUAGGAUUUGGUUUAGAAUUUAAGGUUUGGUUUAGGAUUUGAUUAGGAUUUGAUUUAGGAUUUAGGAUUUGAUUAGGAUUUGGUUUAGGGUUUAGGGUUUGAUUUAGGAUUUGGUUUAGGAUUUGGUUUAGGAUUUGGUUAAGAUUUAGUUUAGGAUUUGGUUGGGGUUUGGUUUAAGGUUUUUUUAGAAUUUGAUUUAGGAUUUAAGAUUUUAUUAGGAUUUACGAUUUAAUUAGUUUUGGCCUAAAGUUUGAAUGAAGUUCAAUAGGAUUUUAACUAGAAUUAAAUUAAUAUUGAAUUGAGAUGUAUUUGAGUGAUAUUUAUAAUCCUUCUAAUAUUUCUUUAAGAAUUUUUAUUGUUUGUUUGAAUUUUCUUUGAGUUUUUUUUUU